rnacentral:tRNA from 1 species
GUUUGAACUAGGGUCACGGCGAAUGUCGGAAAGGACUACAUUGAUAAUGUGGCGGUCGCGGGUUCGAAUCCCGUC